rnacentral:tRNA from 1 species
GCCCAGAUAGUUCAGUUGGUAGAGCAUCAGACUUUUAACCUGACGGGUUCAAGGUUCCAGGGUUCAAAUCCUUGUUCAGG